ensembl:lncRNA novel transcript
ACCUUAGCGUUUCUCCAGCACUGAUGCAAUAUCUGCAGGAUGCCAGAAGAGAAGGAGUAACAUUAUUUGAAAAAUACACCCUAUGGAAAAGAAAGGAGAGUUCUAAUACCUAAAUGGGAGGUUAGAACUCUCACAUUUGUUUUGCUGGUUCACUCUGCCCGUGUUCUACAAAAGCCCCAGUUGCAGUCUGAGCUGUGGCUCAGCUUCCUCUCCUCAUCAUAGAAUGUUGGCUCUGGGUAAUCCUCCCCUAACCUGCCCAGUCUCAGUUCUGAAAUGUUUGCUAAUGUUGCUUGCCAUUUCUUUGCCAAAACCUACUCAUUCAAUUCCAUUUGACCUGGACAAUUCGACGGACACAAAGGCUGAAAACACUGCAGAAAAAUCAGUCUCCAUGUGCUCAUCAGAGAUUUUGGUGACUGAAUCUUAUUUUGGGUGGUGGAAGAUGAAGUUAUAAAUCAGGAUGUUUUUAAAAUAGCUAAACUCUACGUAAUGCCUCUAUGAUUUCCAAGUGAAAAAUAAACUCAAAGGAAAUUUGAAAUGUAAAAGUCUGUAAAUCUUUGUGAAUGUUAUGAAUUUUGUACCAUAUUCAUGUAUUCCUUUGGAAAAAAAUUGAAUUAUUUAAAAUAAAUUAAA